rnacentral:tRNA from 1 species
GGGAAUGUGGCUCAGUGGUAGAGUGUUUGCCUAGUAUGCAUGAAGCCCUGGGUUUGAUUCCUCAGUACCA